UAACGGCGAGUGAAGCGGUAACAGCUCAAAUUUGAAAUCUGGGUCUUUCAGGCUCCGAGUUGUAAUUUGUAGAAGAUGCUUUGGGUGCGGUCCCGGUCUAAGUUCCUUGGAACAGGACGUCAUAGAGGGUGAGAAUCCCGUAUGUGAUCGGUGGCUUGCGCCCGUGUAAAGCUCUUUCGACGAGUCGGGUUGUUUGGGAAUGCAGCUCUAAAUGGGUGGUAAAUUUCAUCUAAAGCUAAAUAUUGGCCAGAGACCGAUAGCGCACAAGUAGAGUGAUCGAAAGAUGAAAAGCACUUUGGAAAGAGAGUUAAACAGUACGUGAAAUUGUUGAAAGGGAAGCGCUUGCAACCAGACUUGCGCGGGGUUGAUCAUCCGGGGUUCUCCCCGGUGCACUCGGCCUCGCUCAGGCCAGCAUCGGUUUCGGUGGUUGGAUAAAGGCCUUGGGAAUGUGACUUCUUUCGGGGAGUGUUAUAGCCCUCGGUGCAAUGCAGCCUACCGGGACCGAGGACCGCGCUUCGGCUAGGAUGCUGGCGUAAUGGUUGUAAGCGACCCGUCUUGAAACACGGACCAAGGAGUCUAACAUCUAUGCGAGUGUUUGGGCGUCAAACCCAUACGCGUAAUGAAAGUGAACGGAGGUGAGAACCCUUAAGGGUGCAUCAUCGACCGAUCCUGAUGUCUUCGGAUGGAUUUGAGUAAGAGCAUAGCUGUUGGGACCCGAAAGAUGGUGAACUAUGCCUGAAUAGGGUGAAGCCAGAGGAAACUCUGGUGGAGGCUCGCAGCGGUUCUGACGUGCAAAUCGAUCGUCAAAUUUGGGCAUAGGGGCGAAAGACUAAU
rnacentral:rRNA from 1 species